rnacentral:rRNA from 1 species
GACGAACGCUGGCGGCGUGCCUAAUACAUGCAAGUAGAACGCUGAAGAGAGGAGCUUGCUCUUCUUGGAUGAGUUGCGAACGGGUGAGUAACGCGUAGGUAACCUGCCUUGUAGCGGGGGAUAACUAUUGGAAACGAUAGCUAAUACCGCAUAACAAUGGAUGACACAUGUCAUUUAUUUGAAAGGGGCAAUUGCUCCACUACAAGAUGGCCCUGCGUUGUAUUAGUUAGUAGGUGAGGUAAUGGCUCACCUAGGCGACGAUACAUAGCAGACCUGAGCGGGUGGUCGGCCACACUGGGACUGAGACACGGCCCAGACGCCUACGGGAGGCAGCAGGAGGGAAGCUUCGGCAAGGGGGGCAACACUGACCGAGCAACGCGGCGUGAGGGAAGAAGGUUUUCGGAUCGUAAAGCUCGGUUGUAAGUCAAGAACGGGUGUGAGAGUGGAAAGUUCACACUGUGACGGUAGCUGACCAGAAAGGGACGGCUAACUACGUG